ACUCCUACGGUAGGCAGCAGUGGGGAAUAUUGGACAAUGGGCGCAAGCCUGAUCCAGCCAUGCCGCGUGAGUGAUGAAGGCCCUAGGGUUGUAAAGCUCUUUCACCGGUGAAGAUAAUGACGGUAACCGGAGAAGAAGCCCCGGCUAACUUCGUGCCAGCAGCCGCGGUAAU
rnacentral:rRNA from 1 species